AAACAAUAUGUGUGGCAGCAAGGGAAGCUGGUGUUUACAAUUAAUUGAUCACAGCCAGUUACAGAUUUCUUUAUUCCUUCUCCACUCCCACUGCUUCAC